rnacentral:rRNA from 1 species
AUACGGAGGGUGCAAGCGUUACUCGGAAUUACUGGGCGUAAAGGACGCGUAGGCGGUUUUUAAAGUCAGAUGUGAAAGCCUAUGGCUUAACCAUAGAACUGCAUUUGAAACUUCUAAACUAGAGUGAGGGAGAGGUCAGUGGAAUUAGUGGUGUAGGGGUAAAAUCCGUAGAGAUCACUAGGAAUACUCAUAGCGAAGGCGACUGACUGGAACUUUACUGACGCUGAGGCGUGAAAGCGUGGGGAGCAAACAGGAUUAGAUACCCUAGUAGUCC